GCACGCCGACAAAUCCGCCGUAUACAAAGGAAUUUCCCCUGUAUACGAAGCGACAGCUGUACCUGUAAAACAUACAAUACUACAAACAGUAGUAUAGAGCUGCUAGAAGAACUAGUAAAGUAAAAGAAACCGAGUUCCAUAUACAUACACUGAAUCCCAGAGUACAAAGCUACUCGCACUGGCGAGUUAAAAGUCUGUAUGUACAUGAACCCAAACUAAAACAUCUACCUGC
rnacentral:lncRNA from 1 species